rnacentral:tRNA from 1 species
CGGAUUGUAGUUCAAUUGGUCAGAGCACCGCCCUGUCAAGGCGGAAGCUGCGGGUUCGAGCAUACUGGUGCAA